GAGUAAUGUCUGGGAAACUGCCUGAUGGAGGGGGAUAACUACUGGAAACGGUGGCUAAUACCGCAUAACGUCGCAAGACCAAAGAGGGGGACCUUCGGGCCUCUUGCCAUCAGAUGUGCCCAGAUGGGAUUAGCUUGUUGGUGAGGUAACGGCUCACCAAGGCGACGAUCCCUAGCUGGUCUGAGAGGAUGACCAGCCACACUGGAACUGAGACACGGUCCAGACUCCUACGGGAGGCAGCAGUGGGGAAUAUUGCACAAUGGGCGCAAGCCUGAUGCAGCCAUGCCGCGUGUAUGAAGAAGGCCUUCGGGUUGUAAAGUACUUUCAGCGGGGAGGAAGGUGUUGUGGUUAAUAACCGCAGCAAUUGACGUUACCCGCAGAAGAAGCACCGGCUAACUCCGUGCCAGCAGCCGCGGUAAUACGGAGGGUGCAAGCGUUAAUCGGAAUUACUGGGCGUAAAGCGCACGCAGGCGGUCUGUCAAGUCGGAUGUGAAAUCCCCGGGCUCAACCUGGGAACUGCAUUCGAAACUGGCAGGCUUGAGUCUUGUAGAGGGGGGUAGAAUUCCAGGUGUAGCGGUGAAAUGCGUAGAGAUCUGGAGGAAUACCGGUGGCGAAGGCGGCCCCCUGGACAAAGACUGACGCUCAGGUGCGAAAGCGUGGGGAGCAAACAGGAUUAGAUACCCUGGUAGUCCACGCCGUAAACGAUGUCUACUUGGAGGUUGUGCCCUUGAGGCGUGGCUUCCGGAGCUAACGCGUUAAGUAGACCGCCUGGGGAGUACGGCCGCAAGGUUAAAACUCAAAUGAAUUGACGGGGGCCCGCACAAGCGGUGGAGCAUGUGGUUUAAUUCGAUGCAACGCGAAGAACCUUACCUGGUCUUGACAUCCACAGAAGAAUCCAGAGAUGGAUUUGUGCCUUCGGGAACUGUGAGACAGGUGCUGCAUGGCUGUCGUCAGCUCGUGUUGUGAAAUGUUGGGUUAAGUCCCGCAACGAGCGCAACCCUUAUCCUUUGUUGCCAGCGAUUAGGUCGGGAACUCAAAGGAGACUGCCAGUGAUAAACUGGAGGAAGGUGGGGGUGACGUCAAGUCAUCAUGGCCCUUACGACCAGGGCUACACACGUGCUACAAUGGCGCAUACAAAGAGAAGCGACC
rnacentral:rRNA from 1 species